UACAGAGGGUGCGAGCGUUAAUCGGAAUUAUUGGGCGUAAAGCGCGUGUAGGCGGCUUUGCAAGUCGGGUGUGAAAGCCCUCAGCUCAACUGAGGAAGUGCGCCCGAAACUGCAGAGCUUGAGUGCCGGAGAGGGUGGCGGAAUUCCCCAAGUAGAGGUGAAAUUCGUAGAUAUGGGGAGGAACACCGGUGGCGAAGGCGGCCACCUGGACGGUAACUGACGCUGAGACGCGAAAGCGUGGGGAGCAAACAGG
rnacentral:rRNA from 1 species